AGGCUUUCGCGGGAGCACUCCUGCACCGAUAUAUCCAAGGCUGACUGUGGUCUCUGUAGAACAACUCCUCGUGACUCAGCAGUUUCAACCCCUGUUACUUGGUGGGGUCCAGCAUCAGUUUCCCUUAAGAAUUGUUUAAAAUGCCUAAUCCCAGGUUCUGCCCCACACCCAUUGAAUCAGAAUCUACAUUUUUAACAAAACCCCCAGGAGACUGACCUGCACCUCCUAGAAGCACAAAAUGGAGAGAUGCAGAUGGGAGAGGGCGCUAGAGAUCUGCAGGCUCAAAGAGAGGAAGACACAGGGAAGAAUGCCCUGUGACCACAAAGGCGGAGAUUGGAACGCUGUAUCUACAAGCUGAGAAACACAAGUGUUGCCAGCAACACCACAAGACAUGGAUUUGAUUCCUGGUCCGGGGAGAUCCCACAUGCCACGCAGCAGCUAAGCCUGUGUGACAUAGUUAUUAAGCCUGUGCCCUAGAGCCUCGGAGCCGCAACUGAAGCCCAAGCCCCAGAGCCCAUGCUCCACAAGAGAGACCACUGCGACGAGAAGCCCGAGCACCGCCUAGAGAGUAGCCCCUGCCUGCCGCAGUUAGGGAAAAGGCCGAGCAGCAACAGAGACCCAGCACAGCCAAAAAUAAAUAAGUAACAGUAUUUAAAAAACAAACAAACAGAAAGCCAGGAGUCCGAGCAGAUGGCAGACAAGGGUUGUAGAGAAGCAUCUUACUGGGGUCUGCAUUUGUUUAUUUUUUUAUUUAUUAUAGAACAAAGAAAAAGCGGGCUGAGGAGCCGAAGUAAGAGGACCAGUGAAAGUGGUUGCAGAGAUGCCAUGGUUUAGGCCUGACACCAGGAGGGAGUGUGUUCAUUUCUUCUUGCUGUCAGCCAUUCCCAGGUGAACUGAAUAAAGGUAUUGUAGUUUAAUCUUCAGGCACAUUGGGGGAAGGGUUCCCAGAGAGGAGCCGUUGCAUAUAGUUUAAGCUAUAGGCAACAUCCCUUUAAUGAUUAACUUGUCGCAAAAGCAAUAGAGAACAAAGGCUAACGUAAAAGAAACAGACCUAUUACGGAGGCAGAUUUAUGGAUUACCUAAUCUAGCCUAAUUCAUUUCAUGAACUUUUCCUUAGGUAAAGGUUAUUCUGCUGGCCUGGAUGUAAAUAACCAUCAGUUUGUCUUCAGAAUCAUGUCUGAAUUACCACAAUAUAUUGAGGCUUUUCUUGCUGUGUCAGAGGAGCUAACGAAAGGCAGUUCUGAUCAGACCAAAGAUAAAACUGGUAAAAUCACUAUCAUAUGAAAAAUGCGGGGGCACCAUAACUGAACUUGGUUUCAUGGAUUUAAGAACAGCGAGCUGCAGGGUAUUCUGAUAGAGAGGCGUGUUGUAAGAGAUGAAGGGAAAUUCUGGCUCUGAGGAAGGAAGGGCCCUGUCCAGAGUCUGUCAGGAUAGACUCAGCAGAGCUUGAACCAAAGUGAUUGUAAGAGGGUCCUAGAUCUGGUGUUUUUAUGCUAUUUAUUUUUAUUACUUCAUGCUUCUAUUCAGCUACUGUUUUUGAAGCCCUACUAUGAGCCAGCCGUUCUAAGCGCUGUGCAUAUAUCGCAUUAAAAACAAUCCUUGCUUUCUUCCCUUCUAAGGAGGGGAGACUGAUAUUAAGAAAUAAUUUACACGUGCAGAGCUGGGCUGAUAGAUUGAGAGCAGCUGUGGUGGAGGUGGGACUCAACGAAGGGUUGGUUCCGGAGCUCAGAUCUGCAGGGGAAGGAGGGGCAAGGAGACCGGAGGAAAGAAGGCUCUAGACUCAAGAAAGAGCCAGUGUGAGUCUCCAAGGAGGGGCCACCUGAUCUGCUUGAGGAACGCUGGGAGGUCAGUGUGGUCAGAGCCCAAGAAGCAACGGGGAGAUUAGCAGGGCAGCGAGGAGGAGCCCAGACUUAGAGGGACUUCGGCUGCUUGAAUUGUGGACAAGACCUGGUGCCACGUGAAGACCUUGAAGGGUGUAUCUGAGAAGGCCCAGCCCGGCUCCUGUGUUCAUGAGAACAAAGUAUGGACCAUAGUGUCUCACGAUUUCCAGAUUCAGAUGAUGGUGGUGGGUGCCAACCCAGAAAAAUACUCAGCUCAUUUCUAGCACUUCCAAGUGAGCAGUAUGCUGCCUGUUUGCAAGAUGGCCAGGCCGCUGAGCAUCCCAGGGGGAUCACCCCACGUCUCCUAGUUUCUCGGCAGCCUAUGAGACGACUUGAAGCUCAAAGAUUUGGGCGACCAGGAAGGAACUCUGUUUGCAGCCGCAUCGUUGUUUCUCUCUGGAGGAGUGGAGACCGUGCUCGCCUCCGGUCAUCCAGUUCCUGGCCGUGUUGGUGACAGAGCUCCUGGCCCCGUAGCCGAUGCGAGUGGUCAGGUGACCCUAGCAGACUUUGGGGCUCCGUGGACACUGAGCUGGGGACCUGCUGGGCUGGUCUGCACCCUGGAGCCAGGCGAGGGGCAGCUGACAGAAGUGAGAUGGGCACUUAACAGGAAGAGCUCGGCAGCCAUGAAGAAGAAUGGAGACACCACGGGGUUGCUCUUGGCACUCGCAUCGCCUCAGCCAGGCGCUCUCACGCUCCUUCCCCACUGCGGCGUCCCUGCUCUCCUGCCAUCGCGGGGCUGGAGCCCCAGAUGCUGGUCUUCUGUCUUUAGUCCUUCUGUCCAGCAGCUUCCGCCCUCAGCCUUCAAACAUACCCAGGUCUCUCACCCUGGGAAGGUCUGUCGAUGCCCCCUUGCCCUCACACUGCCGUGUCCAGGCAGAAUUUCCUUUCCUGUAUCCUGUUCCUCACCGGAUAC